rnacentral:rRNA from 1 species
GACGGAGGGUGCAAGCGUUGUUCGGAUUGACUGGGCGUAAAGGGCGUGUAGGCGGUUUGUCAAGUCGGGUGUGAAAGCCUGGGGCUCAGCCCCAGAAGUGCAUCCGAAACUAGCGAGCUAGAGCGCGAUAGAGGAGGGUGGAAUUCCUGGUGUAGCGGUGAAAUGCGUAGAUAUCAGGAGGAACACCGGUGGCGAAGGCGGUUCUCUGGGCCUUACCUGACGCUGAGGAGCGAAAGCGUGGGGAGCAAACAG